GAUGAACGCUAGCUACAGGCUUAACACAUGCAAGUCGAGGGGAAACGAUAUUGGAAGCUUGCUUCCGAUAGGCGUCGACCGGCGCACGGGUGAGUAACGCGUAUCCAACCUGCCCACCACUUGGGGAUAACCUUGCGAAAGUAAGACUAAUACCCGAUGAUAUCCCUAGAAGACAUCUGAAAGGGAUUAAAGAUUUAUCGGUGAUGGAUGGGGAUGCGUCUGAUUAGCUUGUUGGCGGGGUAACGGCCCACCAAGGCAACGAUCAGUAGGGGUUCUGAGAGGAAGGUCCCCCACAUUGGAACUGAGACACGGUCCAAACUCCUACGGGAGGCAGCAGUGAGGAAUAUUGGUCAAUGGGCGAGAGCCUGAACCAGCCAAGUAGCGUGCAGGACGACGGCCCUAUGGGUUGUAAACUGCUUUUAUAAGGGAAUAAAGUGAGUCUCGUGAGACUUUUUGCAUGUACCUUAUGAAUAAGGACCGGCUAAUUCCGUG
rnacentral:rRNA from 1 species